GAGUUUGAUCCUGGCUCAGGAUGAACGCUAGCGGCAGGCCUAAUACAUGCAAGUCGAACGGGAUCCAUUUUCAGCUUGCUGAGGAUGGUGAGAGUGGCGGAUGGGUGCGUAACGCGUGAGCAACCUACCGGUAUCUACGGUAUAGCCCGGCGAAAGUCGGAUUAAUCCCGUAUGUGGUAUAGAUGUGGCAUCAUGUUUAUAUUAAAUAUUUAUAGGAUAUCGAUGGGCUCGCGUGACAUUAGCUAGUUGGUAUAGGUAACGGCUUACCAAGGCUAUGAUGUCUAGGGGCUCUGAGAGGAGAAUCCCCCACACUGGGACUGAGACACGGCCCAGACUCCUACGGGAGGCAGCAGUAAGGAAUAUUGGUCAAUGGAGGGAACUCUGAACCAGCCAUGCCGCGUGCAGGAUGACUGCCCUCAGGGUUGUAAACUGCUUUUAUACGGGAAUAAUUAUGGGUACUUGUACUUAUUUGAAUGUACUGUAUGAAUAAGGAUCGGCUAACUCCGUGCCAGCAGCCGCGGUAAUACGGAGGAUCCGAGCGUUAUCCGGAUUUAUUGGGUUUAAAGGGUGCUUAGGCGGCAUUUUAAGUCAGUGGUGAAAUUUAUAGGCUCAACCUAUAGCUUGCCAUUGAUACUGGAGUGCUUGAAUAAGUUCGAGGAUGGCGGAAUGUGACGAGUAGCGGUGAAAUGCAUAGAUAUGUCACAGAACACCGAUUGCUUAGGCAGCUGUCCAGGUCUUUUAUUGACGCUGAAUCACGAAAGCGUGGGGAUCAAACAGGAUUAGAUACCCUGGUAGUUCACGCCGUAAACUAUGAUAACUCGAUGUUGGCGAUAUACAGUCAGUGUCCAAGCGAAAGCGUUAAGUUAUCCACCUGGGGAGUACGUUCGCAAGAAUGAAACUCAAAGGAAUUGACGGGGGCCCGCACGAGCGGAGGAGCAUGUGGUUUAAUUCGAUGAUACGCGAGGAACCUUACCCGGGCUUGAAAGUUAGCGACUGAUGCAGAGACGCAUCAUCCCUUCGGGGCGCGAAACUAGGUGCUGCAUGGCUGUCGUCAGCUCGUGCCGUGAGGUGUUGGGUUAAGUCCCGUAACGAGCGCAACCCUUAUCUUCAGUUGCCAGCACAUCAUGGUGGGGACUCUGAAGAGACUGCCCGCGUAAGCGGUGAGGAAGGCGGGGACGACGUCAAGUCAUCAUGGCCCUUACGUCCGGGGCUACACACGUGCUACAAUGGCCGGUACAGGGGGCAGCUAUCUGGUAACAGAGUGCGAAUCUCAUUAAAGCCGGUCACAGUUCGGAUUGAGGUCUGCAACUCGACCUCAUGAAGUUGGAUUCGCUAGUAAUCGCAUAUCAGCAAUGUUGCGGUGAAUACGUUCCCGGGCCUUGUACACACCGCCCGUCAAGCCAUGAAAGUUGGGAGUGCCUAAAGCAUGUAACCGCGAGGAGCGUGUUAGGGUAAGACCGAUAAUUGGGGCUAAGUCGUAACAAGGUA
rnacentral:rRNA from 1 species